rnacentral:lncRNA from 1 species
CUUCCCUUUUCCCUGAAGAAACAAUUGCAGGAUGCAGGUGACGGAAAGGGAUAUUGGUCUAAGAAAAGAAAUGAAUCCGUUAUAGGUUUUAAAAUAUACCGUAGAAUCACUAGCGAUAAAGCUGUGGCAUAUUUCUGAACUUUCCACUACAUCGGUGUGUGACGACAGCACAGUUAAGACUGGUGAACGAGAAUAAGUUACUCUGAUUAGAGAGAUCAAGCUACAUGAGAAGAAAAAAUUCCCUUGCUGUGAAAGAGCAAGAAGUAUUUCUCACAGCACUGCACAAGGCAGGCGCUUUUGCCGCUGAGCUAAAUCCCCAGCCCCUGACGUGCAUUCCUGACUGGAA